rnacentral:rRNA from 1 species
AACGCGAAGAACCUUACCAAGGUUUGACAUCCUGCGAAAGUUUUUGAAAGAAGACUGUGCCUUCGGGAACGCAGUGACAGGUGCUGCAUGGCCGUCGUCAGCUCGUGUCGUGAGAUGUUUGGUUAAGUCCAUCAACGAGCGCAACCCUUAUAGUUAGUUGCUUUUUCUAGCUAGACUGCCCUGGUAACAGGGAGGAAGGAGGGGAUGAUGUCAGGUCAGUAUUGCCCUUACACCUUGGGCUACAAACACGCUACAAUGGCCGGUACAAAGGGCUGCCAAGUCGCAAGACGGAGCAAAUCCCAUCAAAGCCGGUCUCAGUUCGGAUUGUAGGCUGAAACCCGCCUGCAUGAAGCUGGAAUCGCUAGUAACGGUAGGUCAGCAUUACUACCGUGAAUACGUUCCCGGGCCUUGUACACACCGAGACGAC